rnacentral:ncRNA from 2 species
UGCUUUCGCUAGGGGUGUUGGCAUGGCGCGUAUCGACCCGCCAUGUCGACUGAGAAAGUCCCUUUGAACCUGAUUGAGGUAAUCCUCGCGCAGGGAAGCAGGCCAGACACCGC